rnacentral:rRNA from 2 species
GUCUAUGGCCAUACCAUCCUGAACGCACUCCAUCUUGUCUGAUCUCAGAAGCUAAGCAGGGUUGGGCCUGGUUACGACUUGGAUGGGAGAACGUCUCUGUAAAGUAUAGCAGAGGUCUGGCUACUUCAUGCU